ACCCCUACCUGGACGGGGCUUCCGACUGAUCAUGAAGGGUCAUGGCCUAGAUCCACGACUCAAAUUGCAUUUGGUGAGCAUGUUGUUCUACCAUCUCCCCAAUUGGGAGAAUGGAUGUCAUAAUUUUUGGAAGAGGGGGUAUGCGUUUAUGCGGGCCCUAC
rfam:Triticum aestivum genome assembly, contig: Triticum_aestivum_CS42_TGACv1_scaffold_406211_5BL